UGUGUAGGCGGAUUAAUAAGUCAGUGGUGAAAUCCUACAGCUUAACUGUAGAACUGCCAUUGAUACUGUUAACCUUGAGUAUAGUUGAGGUAGGCGGAAUGUGUUGUGUAGCGGUGAAAUGCUUAGAUAUAACACAGAACACCGAUUGCGAAGGCAGCAUACUAAACUAUUACUGACGCUGAGGCACGAAAGCGUGGGGAGCGAACAGGAUUAGAUACCCUGGUAGUCC
rnacentral:rRNA from 1 species